UUGACGGUGUGACGGUAUAGAUGUAGUUUAAGAAUUUUUUAUAAGCCAAUUAAUCAGGUAAUAUUUUUAGCACAGUAAUAUGGUAACAUUUCGAAAGUAGAUUUGUAAAAUAAUUUCCGAUAAGUCGAUAUCGCUAUGUAUUUGUACUAUAGAGGCGUGUUCCGGGUACAUUAUUUAUAUAAAAACCGGGUAACGAGUAUUGACCGGGUAAUAAUAAUGUUUGUUAAAACCGAGUUUCGGAUACAAUCGAGUAAUAAUUUACAUAGAGACCGGGUACCGAGUAU